AUGGCCUGGACCCCACUCUUCCUCGCACUGGUCACCUAUUUCUCUGGUUCCCUUGCCCAGUACGUGGUGACACAGCCGCCUUCAGUGUCUGCAUCUCCAGGACAAACUGCUCGGCUCACCUGCUCUGGGAACAACAUUGGUAGCAAGAGUGUGCAGUGGUACCAGCAGAAACCUGGCACUGCCCCUCUACUCAUUAUAUAUGCUGAUGAUAGCAGACCCUCUGGCAUCCCUGACCGAUUCUCUGGUGCCAACUCUGGCAACACGGCCACAUUGACCAUCACUGGAGUCCAAGCUCAGGAUGAGGCUGACUAUUACUGCCAGGUGUGGGAUAGCAGCAGUUCUCAGGCUCACAGUGAUACAGGGCAAUGUGGAAGUUCCCUUGCCGGGAACGUGCUAACGCAGCCGCCUGCAGUGUCUGUGUCUCCAGGACAAACUGCUCACAUCACGUGCAGUGGAGAGAAGUUUAACAAGAAGUAUGCACACUGGUACCAGCAGAAACCUGGCAGCGUCCCCAACUUCUAA